GCAUUCGGGGAGCUACACAUGCAAGCCGAGCGGUAGAGAUCUUUCGGGAUCUUGAGAGCGGCGUACGGGUGCGGAACACGUGUGCAACCUGCCUUUAUCUGGGGGAUAGCCUUUCGAAAGGAAGAUUAAUACCCCAUAAUAUACUGAAUGGCAUCAUUCGGUAUUGAAAACUCCGGUGGAUAGAGAUGGGCACGCGCAAGAUUAGAUAGUUGGUGAGGUAACGGCUCACCAAGUCUACGAUCUUUAGGGGGCCUGAGAGGGUGAUCCCCCACACUGGUACUGAGACACGGACCAGACUCCUACGGGAGGCAGCAGUGAGGAAUAUUGGACAAUGGGUGAGAGCCUGAUCCAGCCAUCCCGCGUGAAGGACGACGGCCCUAUGGGUUGUAAACUUCUUUUGUAUAGGGAUAAACCUACCCUCGUGAGGGUAGCUGAAGGUACUAUACGAAUAAGCACCGGCUAACUCCGUGCCAGCAGCCGCGGUAAUACGGAGGGUGCAAGCGUUAUCCGGAUUUAUUGGGUUUAAAGGGUCCGUAGGCGGAUCUGUAAGUCAGUGGUGAAAUCUCACAGCUUAACUGUGAAACUGCCAUUGAUACUGCAGGUCUUGAGUGUUGUUGAAGUAGCUGGAAUAAGUAGUGUAGCGGUGAAAUGCAUAGAUAUUACUUAGAACACCAAUUGCGAAGGCAGGUUACUAAGCAACAACUGACGCUGAUGGACGAAAGCGUGGGGAGCGAACAGG
rnacentral:rRNA from 1 species